GCCCACUGUCUCAAAAGGUGUUAGCAUGUAGCUGACCUUGAAUCAAAAAGUUAAGCAGGAUGAGAUCUGGUCAGUACUUGGAUAGGAGUCCACCAGGAAAUUCCAGGACCGUGGGCU
rnacentral:rRNA from 1 species